GACCACUGUGUAGGUGUGACUGACAGACUCCCAUCCCACUUCCCCCCUGGAGCUGGGAUGGUCUGGAAUGAAAGUCCCAGCCUCUGCCCCAGGCUAGGCUUUCUGGUGGCCAGCCCAUCCUGAAGCUGCUCCCAGGCCACCAGGAGUCACCUCCAUGGAACAAGGCACACUCCCGUCCUGUGGGGAGUCCCCAGGCACACGGAGUUCCACGUUCCACCGGAAUCAAACUCCUUUCUUCCACUAUGUCCCGCUCUGCUUCACAGCUGUGUGACCCUCACUCCCAGCAUGCCCUGUUGAUUGGAUGGCUCUGAGAAGCAAGACCUCUACCACCCAUUCAGCUGUGA